rnacentral:rRNA from 1 species
GACGAACGCUGGCGGCGUGCUUAACACAUGCAAGUCGAACGGACAGGCCCUACUUUUGUGUGUGCUCGGUUGGCGACCGGGUGAUUAACACGUGAUUAACCUGCCCUUGACUUUACUAUGACUUCAGCAAACUGGGGCUAAUACCGCAUAGGAACUCCUGCUGCCUGGUGGUUGUUGGAAAGUUUCCGCGGUUGGUGAUGGACUCGCGGCUUAUCAGCUUGUUGGGGGGGUAGUGGCAUACCAAGGCUUUGCCAGGUAGCCGGCCUGAGAGGGUGACCGGGGACAUUGGGACUGAGGGAGGGCGCAGAAUGGAACGGGAGGCAGCAGGGGGGAAUAUUGCACAAUGGGCGGGAGCGUGAUGCAGAAACGCCGCGUGCGGGAUGACGGCCUUCGGGUGGUAAACCGCUGUCGACUGUGACGAAGCGUGAGUGACGGUAAUGGGUAAAGAAGCACCGGCUAACUACGUG